rnacentral:rRNA from 1 species
CCUACGGGGGGCUGCAGUGGGGAAUAUUGGACAAUGGGGGGAACCCUGAUCCAGCCAUGCCGCGUGUGUGAAGAAGGCCCUCGGGUUGUAAAGCACUUUCAGUGAGGAAGAACGCCUGGUGGUUAAUACCCAUCAGGAAAGACAUCACUCACAGAAGAAGCACCGGCUAACUCCGUGCCAGCAGCCGCGGUAAUACGGAGGGUGCGAGCGUUAAUCGGAAUUACUGGGCGUAAAGUGCGCGUAGGUGGCUUGAUAAGCCGGUUGUGAAAGCCCCGGGCUCAACCUGGGAACGGCAUCCGGAACUGUCAAGCUAGAGUGCAGGAGAGGAAGGUAGAAUUCCCGGUGUAGCGGUGAAAUGCGUAGAGAUCGGGAGGAAUACCAGUGGCGAAGGCGGCCUUCUGGACUGACACUGACACUGAGGUGCGAAAGCGUGGGUAGCAAACAGGAUUAGAUACCCUUGUAGUC